rnacentral:lncRNA from 1 species
CUAUAUUGGAGAUAGGGCUUUGAUUUUUGUAAUUAAGUUUAAAUGUCACCCUUGUGACUUCAUUAAUCUAACAGGACUGCUGUCUUAUAAGGAGAGGAAGAGAAAGUCGGACUACACACUUCACACUUACACAAAAGACCAUGUAAGGACACAUGACGAGGCAACGAUCUGCAAAGCAAGGGGAGAGACCUCAGGAGAAACCAAACUGGAUGACAUGGCGAUCUUGCACCGUCAACCUCCAGAAACGGAGACAAGAGCACCUUGUCCCUGGUAUUGUGUAGAGCAGCCCUUGCAGACUAAUACAAAAAAGGAAAUGGAAACCCUCUUCCCAUUGCCUCCCCAUCCAGCCCCAAGAGAUUUCAGUCAUGCACAUCUCCAUGAGUCAAGAGGAACUUCCAGCUUUAGAACUCCCCACUUUGCUGCUCUUGUGUCACUUGUGAUUGAAAACACAAACACAGGUCACCAGGUGUUUGAACUGCCAUGUCCCGGCCUAACUUUUCAUGGAAUGGGUAAAAAUCAGUUGAAGCAAGAAUGAUUUCAUUGUUGGAAAAUGUCAGCCUCAUCCACACAAAACUUAAUGAAGUGGGAGAAAAAAAUAUUAAAUAUCUUAAAACUAAAUAUUGCACUUCCAGAUGAAGUCAUAGUUCAGUGCUAUCAGUGUGGUUAUGUCCGAAUUGUCAUUAAACUGACAACUUUUCAAAGCAAUAGAUUGAGAAUUAUUAUGUAAGAACUCUAAUAAUCAUUAAUAACAUUUGUGAGGAAUUUACCAUUUGCAGAAUAUUUUCCAAUCCAUUAUCUCAUCAUGAGAAACUCGUCUUAUGAUAUGAUGUAUUCUAUGUGAUAUUAGCAAUGUAUUUCGUAAAGUUGAGAUCACUCAGGCUUUCGGUGUAUGGGUUAGUAGAGCCACGCUCUUUCCAAAACAUAUUCUUUGUUGAAUGCAGCCAGCCACAUCCUUACAGGAAUUCAUCUGUUUGAACAUAUUACCCUUUAGUUGAAAAUCUCUUCAUUGGCUUCCCAUAAAAAUCUGUAUUGAUUUUAAAGUUUUGUUACUCACUUAUAAGGCACUUAAUGGCCAUAGACCAAUAUGUGUGCUAGAUCUAUUGUCUCUAUAUGUCCCUUGUUGCCCAUUGAGGUCACGAUGAGCAGACCAUUUAGUCUUUCCAAAAGCAUAAACUCAAAUCCCUUGAAGCUGAGGCUUUUAGAAAAUAUGUUCCCUGAUUGUGGAAUGUAGUUAUUUUAAUACGUUAUAUUCCAUCUGUCUGCAUGAGAAAAGAAACAGUUGUGUUUGGUUACAUCUCAAAAUGCUUAAGAUUAUUAUUUCUGGCUAUCAUAUCUGUAUAUUGUAGUAUAUGUAUAUCUUUAAUAAAAUCUAUUGACAUGCU